UAGGGAAUCUUCCGCAAUGGGCGAAAGCCUGACGGAGCAACGCCGCGUGAGUGAUGAAGGUCUUCGGAUCGUAAAACUCUGUUAUUAGGGAAGAACAUAUGUGUAAGUAACUGUGCACAUCUUGACGGUACCUAAUCAGAAAGCCACGGCUAACUACGUGCCAGCAGCCGCGGUAAUACGUAGGUGGCAAGCGUUAUCCGGAAUUAUUGGGCGUAAAGCGCGCGUAGGCGGUUUUUUAAGUCUGAUGUGAAAGCCCACGGCUCAACCGUGGAGGGUCAUUGGAAACUGGAAAACUUGAGUGCAGAAGAGGAAAGUGGAAUUCCAUGUGUAGCGGUGAAAUGCGCAGAGAUAUGGAGGAACACCAGUGGCGAAGGCGACUUUCUGGUCUGUAACUGACGCUGAUGUGCGAAAGCGUGGGGGUCAAACAGGAUUAGAUACCCUGGUAGUCCACGCCGUAAACGAUGAGUGCUAAGUGUUAGGGGGUUUCCGCCCCUUAGUGCUGCAGCUAACGCAUUAAGCACUCCGCCUGGGGAGUACGACCGCAAGGUUG
rnacentral:rRNA from 1 species